rnacentral:misc_RNA from 1 species
ACUAGUAAAGCGGCAGCCGAAGAAUAGAGAAGCAUGAUGCACGUCGAGGCGAGGCGGGGGACAGUGUGGCGGUAUAUCGUGCCACGCGUGCGUGUGACAAGACCUCUUGCGCUUUUUAAAAGCCUUUCUCGAUGCGCUCCGAGCCGCUGCUUGCUGCUGCUGCUGUUGGAGGAAAUCUGUGAUGAUAAACGAGGCGUGGUGGGGGCGGCGACAUCUCUUGCACCCACAGCGCACGCGUACAGACACGCGGCCGUUGCUGUCGGUGUUGGUGGUGGUGAGUUGUCAUCCUCUCCUUUCGUUUUCCGCCGGAAUGCGGUGAAUCGGUCUUCUUCCUCUCACUUGCUCUUGUACAGAGUGCUCUCAGCCGUGGCCCCCCAUGGUGUGUGACACAUAUACGUGAUUGGUGUGUGUGCCAAUCUAUAUGAUCGGGCCUUGCUCUACAGUUUGUGGUAACACCAGUCCUUUUUUCGUUUUUCGCUCUCUUCUUCUUUCCCUCCUCCCUUCCCUUUUCAUCGCUCCCUCUCCUUCGAGUCGAGUGUACUUGCACGUGCGUAUCUGUAUGUACAUAUGUGUCUGCGCGCAGCUGGUCGAGACCGGCGCCGGCAUUGGAGCGGUACGGGCUCACACAGUCCCUCGUCUCUUCCUCGCCUUCUUUCCUUGCCAAACGCCAGCGGCCUUAAUCAGAGGGUGGGCCAUGCCUAUCGUGUGCGGCGUGCGCGUGUGGUUGUGUGUGCCACGUCGCACACCAAAGGAAAGAGGGAAGAACACGCACACGCACACGUACGCACAAAACAGUGCAGCUGACGCUCAACUUGCAUUUGUGCUUUCGUGUCCACGUACGCGUGCGCGCCACGCAACGUUGUCUACCCAUUAUCUCUCCCUCUUUCUGUCUACCGAUGCCAGCUUCCACUCUGUCGUCCUCCUUCCGUGUACGCGACGUUUCGCCGUACAUGACGCCACUGUGUUUCUCAUGUCGCCAU